GGGUUGUGAGGUUAAGCGACUAAGCGUACACGGUGGAUGCCCUGGCAGUCAGAGGCGAUGAAGGACGUGCUAAUCUGCGAAAAGCGUCGGUAAGGUGAUAUGAACCGUUAUAGCCGGCGAUGUCCGAAUGGGGAAACCCAGUGCAAUUCGUUGCACUAUCGUUAACUGAAUACAUAGGUUAACGAGGCGAACCGGGGGAACUGAAACAUCUAAGUACCCCGAGGAAAAGAAAUCAACCGAGAUUCCCCCAGUAGCGGCGAGCGAACGGGGAGCAGCCCAGAGUCUGAAUCAGCUUGUGUGUUAGUGGAACGGUCUGGAAAGUCCGACGGUACAGGGUGAUAGUCCCGUACACCAAAAUGCACAGGCUGUGAACUCGAAGAGUAGGGCGGGACACGUGGUAUCCUGUCUGAAUAUGGGGGGACCAUCCUCCAAGGCUAAAUACUCCUGACUGACCGAUAGUGAACCAGUACCGUGAGGGAAAGGCGAAAAGAACCCCGGCGAGGGGAGUGAAAAAGAACCUGAAACCGUGUACGUACAAGCAGUGGGAGCACCUUUAUGGUGUGACUGCGUACCUUUUGUAUAAUGGGUCAGCGACUUAUAUUCUGUAGCAAGGUUAACCGUAUAGGGGAGCCGCAGGGAAACCGAGUCUUAACUGGGCGUUAAGUUGCAGGGUAUAGACCCGAAACCCGGUGAUCUAGCCAUGGGCAGGUUGAAGGUUGGGUAACACUAACUGGAGGACCGAACCGACUAAUGUUGAAAAAUUAGCGGAUGACUUGUGGCUGGGGGUGAAAGGCCAAUCAAACCGGGAGAUAGCUGGUUCUCCCCGAAAGCUAUUUAGGUAGCGCCUCGUGAAUUCAUCUUCGGGGGUAGAGCACUGUUUCGGCUAGGGGGUCAUCCCGACUUACCAACCCGAUGCAAACUACGAAUACCGAAGAAUGUUAUCACGGGAGACACACGGCGGGUGCUAACGUCCGUCGUGAAGAGGGAAACAACCCAGACCGCCAGCUAAGGUCCCAAAGUCAUGGUUAAGUGGGAAACGAUGUGGGAAGGCACAGACAGCCAGGAUGUUGGCUUAGAAGCAGCCAUCAUUUAAAGAAAGCGUAAUAGCUCACUGGUCGAGUCGGCCUGCGCGGAAGAUGUAACGGGGCUAAACCAUGCACCGAAGCUGCGGCAGCGACGCUUAUGCGUUGUUGGGUAGGGGAGCGUUCUGUAAGCCUGCGAAGGUGGCCUGUGAGGGUUGCUGGAGGUAUCAGAAGUGCGAAUGCUGACAUAAGUAACGAUAAAGCGGGUGAAAAGCCCGCUCGCCGGAAGACCAAGGGUUCCUGUCCAACGUUAAUCGGGGCAGGGUGAGUCGACCCCUAAGGCGAGGCCGAAAGGCGUAGUCGAUGGGAAACAGGUUAAUAUUCCUGUACUUGGUGUUACUGCGAAGGGGGGACGGAGAAGGCUAUGUUAGCCGGGCGACGGUUGUCCCGGUUUAAGCAUGUAGGCUGGUUAUCCAGGCAAAUCCGGAUAAUCAAGGCUGAGGUGUGAUGACGAGGCACUACGGUGCUGAAGUAACAAAUGCCCUGCUUCCAGGAAAAGCCUCUAAGCAUCAGGUAACAUCAAAUCGUACCCCAAACCGACACAGGUGGUCAGGUAGAGAAUACCAAGGCGCUUGAGAGAACUCGGGUGAAGGAACUAGGCAAAAUGGUGCCGUAACUUCGGGAGAAGGCACGCUGGUGUGUAGGUGAAGUCCCUGCGGAUGGAGCUGAGACCAGUCGAAGAUACCAGCUGGCUGCAACUGUUUAUUAAAAACACAGCACUGUGCAAACACGAAAGUGGACGUAUACGGUGUGACGCCUGCCCGGUGCCGGAAGGUUAAUUGAUGGGGUUAUCCGUAAGGAGAAGCUCUUGAUCGAAGCCCCGGUAAACGGCGGCCGUAACUAUAACGGUCCUAAGGUAGCGAAAUUCCUUGUCGGGUAAGUUCCGACCUGCACGAAUGGCGUAAUGAUGGCCAGGCUGUCUCCACCCGAGACUCAGUGAAAUUGAACUCGCUGUGAAGAUGCAGUGUACCCGCGGCAAGACGGAAAGACCCCGUGAACCUUUACUAUAGCUUGACACUGAACAUUGAGCCUUGAUGUGUAGGAUAGGUGGGAGGCUUUGAAGCGUGGACGCCAGUCUGCGUGGAGCCAACCUUGAAAUACCACCCUUUAAUGUUUGAUGUUCUAACGUUGGCCCCUAAUCGGGGUUGCGGACAGUGUCUGGUGGGUAGUUUGACUGGGGCGGUCUCCUCCCAAAGCGUAACGGAGGAGCACGAAGGUUAGCUAAUCCUGGUCGGACAUCAGGAGGUUAGUGCAAUGGCAUAAGCUAGCUUGACUGCGAGCGUGACGGCGCGAGCAGGUGCGAAAGCAGGUCAUAGUGAUCCGGUGGUUCUGAAUGGAAGGGCCAUCGCUCAACGGAUAAAAGGUACUCCGGGGAUAACAGGCUGAUACCGCCCAAGAGUUCAUAUCGACGGCGGUGUUUGGCACCUCGAUGUCGGCUCAUCACAUCCUGGGGCUGAAGUAGGUCCCAAGGGUAUGGCUGUUCGCCAUUUAAAGUGGUACGCGAGCUGGGUUUAGAACGUCGUGAGACAGUUCGGUCCCUAUCUGCCGUGGGCGCUGGAGAAUUGAGGGGGGCUGCUCCUAGUACGAGAGGACCGGAGUGGACGCAUCACUGGUGUUCGGGUUGUCAUGCCAAUGGCACUGCCCGGUAGCUAAAUGCGGAAGAGAUAAGUGCUGAAAGCAUCUAAGCACGAAACUUGCCCCGAGAUGAGUUCUCCCUGAGACUUUAAGUCUCCUGAAGGAACGUUAAAGACGAUGACGUUGAUAGGCCGGGUGUGUAAGCGCAGCGAUGCGUUGAGCUAACCGGUACUAAUGAACCGUGAGGCUUAACCUUACAACGCCGAAG
rnacentral:rRNA from 1 species